rnacentral:rRNA from 1 species
UGCUGGAGGUAUCAGAAGUGCGAAUGCUGACAUAAGUAACGAUAAAGCGGGUGAAAAGCCCGCUCGCCGGAAGACCAAGGGUUCCUGUCCAACGUUAAUCGGGGCAGGGUGAGUCGACCCCUAAGGCGAGGCCGAAAGGCGUAGUCGAUGGGAAACAGGUUAAUAUUCCUGUACUUGGUGUUACUGCGAAGGGGGGACGGAGAAGGCUAUGUUGGCCGGGCGACGGUUGUCCCGGUUUAAGCGUGUAGGCUGGUUUUCCAGGCAAAUCCGGAAAAUCAAGGCUGAGGCGUGAUGACGAGGCACUACGGUGCUGAAGCAACAAAUGCCCUGCUUCCAGGAAAAGCCUCUAAGCAUCAGGUAACAUCAAAUCGUACCCCAAACCGACACAGGUGGUCAGGUAGAGAAUACCAAGGCGCUUGAGAGAACUCGGGUGAAGGAACUAGGCAAAAUGGUGCCGUAACUUCGGGAGAAGGCACGCUGAUAUGUAGGUGAAGUCCCUCGCGGAUGGAGCUGAAAUCAGUCGAAGAUACCAGCUGGCUGCAACUGUUUAUUAAAAACACAGCACUGUGCAAACACGAAAGUGGACGUAUACGGUGUGACGCCUGCCCGGUGCCGGAAGGUUAAUUGAUGGGGUCAGCGCAAGCGAAGCUCUUGAUCGAAGCCCCGGUAAACGGCGGCCGUAACUAUAACGGUCCUAAGGUAGCGAAAUUCCUUGUCGGGUAAGUUCCGACCUGCACGAAUGGCGUAAUGAUGGCCAGGCUGUCUCCACCCGAGACUCAGUGAAAUUGAACUCGCUGUGAAGAUGCAGUGUACCCGCGGCAAGACGGAAAGACCCCGUGAACCUUUACUAUAGCUUGACACUGAACAUUGAGCCUUGAUGUGUAGGAUAGGUGGGAGGCUUUGAAGUGUGGACGCCAGUCUGCAUGGAGCCGACCUUGAAAUACCACCCUUUAAUGUUUGAUGUUCUAACGUGGACCCGUGAUCCGGGUUGCGGACAGUGUCUGGUGGGUAGUUUGACUGGGGCGGUCUCCUCCUAAAGAGUAACGGAGGAGCACGAAGGUUGGCUAAUCCUGGUCGGACAUCAGGAGGUUAGUGCAAUGGCAUAAGCCAGCUUGACUGCGAGCGUGACGGCGCGAGCAGGUGCGAAAGCAGGUCAUAGUGAUCCGGUGGUUCUGAAUGGAAGGGCCAUCGCUCAACGGAUAAAAGGUACUCCGGGGAUAACAGGCUGAUACCGCCCAAGAGUUCAUAUCGACGGCGGUGUUUGGCACCUCGAUGUCGGCUCAUCACAUCCUGGGGCUGAAGUAGGUCCCAAGGGUAUGGCUGUUCGCCAUUUAAAGUGGUACGCGAGCUGGGUUUAGAACGUCGUGAGACAGUUCGGUCCCUAUCUGCCGUGGGCGCUGGAGAACUGAGGGGGGCUGCUCCUAGUACGAGAGGACCGGAGUGGACGCAUCACUGGUGUUCGGGUUGUCAUGCCAAUGGCACUGCCCGGUAGCUAAAUGCGGAAGAGAUAAGUGCUGAAAGCAUCUAAGCACGAAACUUGCCCCGAGAUGAGUUCUCCCUGACCCUUUAAGGGUCCUGAAGGAACGUUGAAGACGACGACGUUGAUAGGCCGGGUGUGUAAGCGCAGCGAUGCGUUGAGCUAACCGGUACUAAUGAACCGUGAGGCUUAACC